rnacentral:rRNA from 1 species
AUGAACGCUAGCGGCAGGCUUAAUACAUGCAAGUCGAGGGGCAGCACGGGUAGCAAUACUGGUGGCGACCGGCAAACGGGUGCGGAACACGUACGCAACCUUCCCAAAACUGGUGAAUAGCCCUCCGAAAGGAGGAUUAAUACACCGUACCAUAACAGAGUGGCAUCAUUUUGUUAUUAUAGGCAGCAAUGUCGGUUUUGGAUGGGCGUGCGCCUGAUUAGGUAGUUGGCGGGGUAACGGCCCACCAAGCCUCCGAUCAGUAACUGGUGUGAGAGCACGACCAGUCACACGGGCACUGAGACACGGGCCCGACUCCUACGGGAGGCAGCAGUAAGGAAUAUUGGUCAAUGGACGGAAGUCUGAACCAGCCAUGCCGCGUGAAGGAUGAAGGCCCUCUGGGUUGUAAACUUCUUUUAUAUGGGACGAAAAAAGGCUUUUCUAAGUCGUCUGACGGUACCAUAUGAAUAAGCACCGGCUAACUCCGUGCCAGCAGCCGCGGUAAUACGGAGGGCGCAAGCGUUAUCCGGAUUCACUGGGUUUAAAGGGUGCGUAGGUGGGUUGGUAAGUCAGUGGUGAAAUCUCCGAGCUUAACUUGGAAACUGCCAUUGAUACUAUCAGUCUUGAAUAUUGUGGAGGUUAGCGGAAUAUGUCAUGUAGCGGUGAAAUGCUUAGAUAUGACAUAGAACACCAAUUGCGAAGGCAGCUGGCUACACAUAUAUUGACACUGAGGCACGAAAGCGUGGGGAUCAAACAGGAUUAGAUACCCUGGUAGUCCACGCCCUAAACUAUGGAUACUCGACAUACGCGAU